CCUACGGGUGGCAGCAGUGGGGAAUAUUGGACAAUGGACCAAGAGUCUGAUCCAGCAAUUCUGUGUGCACGAUGAAGUUUUUCGGAAUGUAAAGUGCUUUCAGUUGGGCAGAAAGAAAUGACGGUACCAACAGAAGAAGUGACGGCUAAAUACGUGCCAGCAGCCGCGGUAAUACGUAUGUCACGAGCGUUAUCCGGAUUUAUUGGGCGUAAAGCGCGUCUAGGUGGUUAUGUAAGUCUGAUGUGAAAAUGCAGGGCUCAACUCUGUAUUGCGUUGGAAACUGUAUAACUAGAGUACUGGAGAGGUAAGCGGAACUACAAGUGUAGAGGUGAAAUUCGUAGAUAUUUGUAGGAAUGCCGAUGGGGAAGCCAGCUUACUGGACAGAUACUGACGCUGAAGCGCGAAAGCGUGGGUAGCAAACAGGAUUAGAUACCCCGGUAGUC
rnacentral:rRNA from 1 species